CUUCCCCCGCUCCCCGGGGACUUCUCCCGUCCCCUUCCCGCCGUAACGGCCGCCUCUCCUUCCGCAGCUCCCCGGGCUGUACCUCCCGCCGCGCCGCCGGGGUAAGGGGAGGCCUCGGCCCCCGCCUGAGGGAGAGGCCCCGGCCCGGGCCUGGGCCUCAAACCGCCUCACGUACCCCCGGCCUUGUUUGUCCUUCCUCAGCAGGCGGCGGCGAUGAGGAGGAGGAGGCAGACAGAGUGGACUCGGCGGAAACCUCCCUGCUGAACAAGCUGAUCCGCACAUCCCUGGUGGAGUCUAGCCACCGAGUGGAGAUCCUGCAGCAGGACCCCAGCUCCCCGCUCUUCUCCGUCAAAACCUUCGAAGAGCUGCCCCUGAAGAAGGAGCUCUUGCAGGGGAUUUACAUGAUGGGCUUCAACAGACCGUCCAAAAUCCAGGAGACGGCUCUGCCCAUCAUGCUGGCGUAUCCGUGAGUAGUUAACGCCAGGCGGGUGAGCCCCGGCUCCCUCGAGGCAUCCCUGGCGCCGGGACGCCAAUCCGGGGACCCUUGCAUGCCGCUAAGCAGCCUUUGCCUUGCAGGCCCCAAAAUCUGAUUGCCCAGAGCCAGUCAGGGACAGGGAAAACCGCAGCUUUUGUCUUGGCGAUGUUGAGCAGAGUUAAUGCCGCUGAGAAAUACCCGCAGUGCCUCUGCUUGGCUCCCACCUAUGAGCUGGCCCUGCAGAUCGGGCACGUGAUCGAGAAGAUUGGGCGGUUUUGCACCGACAUCACGGUUAUGUAUGCUGUCCGAGGAAACCGAGCAGAAACACGUUGUGUUUGGAGGCGCUUGGAUGCAAUUCCCCCUCUGGCAGUUCUGCAGGGCACCACGCUGCAGGAGCAGAUCGUCAUCGGGACCCCAGGGACGAUGCUGGACUGGUGUUUCAAACGGAGAGUCGUGGAGUUGAAGAAGAUCAACUUGUUCGUGCUGGAUGAGGCCGACAUCAUGAUCGACACUCAGGGCCUCUCCUGUCAAAGCAUUCGCAUUCAGAGGGCUUUACCCAAGGGCUGCCAGAUGCUGCUGUUCUCGGCCACCUUCAAGGAAACUGUGCGGGCGUUCGCCAUGCAAAUCGUUUCCAACCCCAUCAUGAUAAAGCUGCGCGAAGAAGAGCUCACCCUGAGCAACAUCAGGCAGUACUUCUUCGUGUGCAGGAGCUGGGAGGAGAAGUACAGAGCCCUCUGCAACAUCUACGGCAGCAUCACCAUUGGCCAGGCUAUGAUCUUCUGCCAGACUCGGAGGAGCGCGGACUGGCUGGCGGUGGAGAUGAGCCAGGACGGGCAUCAGGUGGCCAUCCUGACGGCAGAGCUGACGGUAGCCCAACGGGCCGAUGUCAUCCAGCGCUUUCGCGACGGGAAGGAGAAGGUCCUCAUCGCCACCAACGUCUGCGCCAGAGGGAUUGACGUCCAGCAGGUCACCAUCGUGGUGAACUUCAGCCUCCCCACCAAUCAGAGGAGCGAGCCGGAUUUCGAGACCUACCUCCACCGCAUAGGGCGAACGGGACGCUUCGGCAAGAGGGGAGUUGCCUUCAGCAUGGUGGAAAGCCAGAAUGUGGGGCUUGUGCAGAUGAUAGAGGAGCAUUUCCCAGAAGCGUUGGGCAACUGUGAUGAGCAGGAGGUGGAUGAGUCCCAACCACGGCCACGGCCAGAAUUAGCCAAAGGAGCCCAGUGUGGGAUUUCCAAGGGCUGAAAAUCUGAGCGGAUGAACUCCUAGUGAACUGACUUUUCCUUUUAACACCAUGACAUUGCAACUUGAGGGCCGGGGCUGCCAGAGGAGGAUAAUGGACCUUCCCCCUCCCGCAUCGCUUUGGAAAGACCAAGAUCAAGCAGCUGGACCCGGAUGACAUGGAUGAGCUUGAGAAGCUUGAAAACUGAGUGAGGAG